rnacentral:tRNA from 1 species
GGUGGAAUGGUCGAGCGGUUUAAGACAGCACCUUGGAAAGGUGUCGGCCCCUUCAAACGGGGUCCGUAGGUUCGAAUCCUACUUCCACCG